rnacentral:rRNA from 1 species
UAGAUCGGAAGCGAGAAUGUUGACAUGAGUAGCGACAAACAGGGUGAGAGACCCUGUCGCCGAAAGUCCAGGGUUCCUGCUUAAAGCUAAUCUGAGCAGGGUAAGCCGGCCCCUAAGGCGAGGCCGAAAGGCGUAGUCGAUGGGAACCAGGUUAAUAUUCCUGGGCCAGGAGGAUGUGACGGAUCUCGACGGUAGUUUGCCCUUAUCGGAUUGGGUGAGCUGCUUAGAGGUUCCUGGAAAUAGCCCUCCACAAGACCUACCCCAAACCGACACAGGUGGACUGGUAGAGGAUACCAAGGCGCUUGAGAGAACCACAUCAAAGGAACUCGGCAAAAUGCUCCCGUAAGUUCGCGAGAAGGGAGCCCCGUCUGUAGGCAACUAUGGGCGGGGGGCACAAACCAGGGGGUGGCGACUGUUUACUUAAAACACAGGGCUGUGCGAAGCCGUAAGGCGACGUAUACAGUCUGACGCCUGCCCGGUGCUGGAAGGUUAAAAGGAGGGGUGCAAGCUCUGAAUUGAAGCCCCAGUAAACGGCGGCCGUAACAAUAACGGUCCUAAGGUAGCGAAAUUCCUUGUCGGGUAAGUUCCGACCUGCACGAAUGGCGUAACGAUCUCCCCGCUGUCUCUGAUGUGGACUCAGCGAAAUUGAACUGUGUGUCAAGAUGCACACUUCCCGCGGUUAGACGGAAAGACCCCAUGAACCUUUACUCCAGCUUUGCACUGGCAUCAGGAUAGUGAUGUGCAGGAUAGGUGGUAGGCAUCGAAGCAGAGACGCCAGUUUCUGUGGAGCCUCCCUUGAGAUACCACCCUUCGCACUCUUGAUGUCUAACCGCGGCCCGUUAUCCGGGUCCGGGACCAUGCAUGGUGGGGAGUUUGACUGGGGCGGUCGCCUCCCAAACAGUAACGGAGGCGCGCGAAGGUUGGCUCAGAGCGGUCGGAAAUCGCUCGUUGAGUGCAAUGGCAGAAGCCAGCCUGACUGCAAGACUGACAAGUCGAGCAGAGACGAAAGUCGGCCAUAGUGAUCCGGUGGUCCCAAGUGGGAGGGCCAUCGCUCAACGGAUAAAAGGUACUCUGGGGAUAACAGGCUGAUGAUGCCCAAGAGUCCAUAUCGACGGCAUCGUUUGGCACCUCGAUGUCGGCUCAUCUCAUCCUGGGGCUGGAGCAGGUCCCAAGGGUAUGGCUGUUCGCCAUUUAAAGAGGUACGUGAGCUGGGUUUAGAACGUCGUGAGACAGUUCGGUCCCUAUCUGCCGUGGGUGUAGGAGACUUGAGAAGAGUUGCCCCUAGUACGAGAGGACCGGGGUGAACGUUCCACUGGUGGACCAGUUGUCGUGCCAACGGCAGUGCUGGGUAGCUAUGAACGGACAGGAUAGCCGCUGAAGGCAUCUAAGCGGGAAGCCCCCUUCAAAACAAGGUCUCCCUUGAGAGCCGUGGAAGACCACCACGUCGAUAGGCCAGAGGUGUAAGUGCAGCAGUGCAUUCAGCUGACUGGUACUAAUUGCU